rnacentral:tRNA from 2 species
UCCCUGAUGGUCUAGUGGUUAGGAUUCAGCACUUUCACUGCUGUGGCCCAGGUUCAAUCCCUGGUCUGGGAA